rnacentral:rRNA from 1 species
CAAUAGCGUAUAUUAAAGUUGUUGCAGUUAAAAGCUCGUAGUUGGAUUUCUGGCAGUGUGACUCCGGCCGGCGUGAUGCCGGCUCGAGCGCGCUACCAUCCUUCUGUCAACCUUCGCGGGUUUUACCGCCCGCCCUGGGGCUCAGAUAUUUUACCUUGAGAAAAUUAGAGUGUUUCAGGCAGGCUAGGCCGGAAUACAUUAGCAUGGAAUAAUGGAAUAGGACUACGGUCUCUUUGUUGGUUUGAGGGACUGCAGUAAUGAUUAAUAGGGAUAGUUGGGGGCAUUAGUAUUUAAUUGUCAGAGGUGGAAUUCUCGGAUUUGUUAAAGACUAACUUAUGCGAAAGCAUUUGCCAAGGAUGUUUUCAUUAAUCAAGAACGAAAGUUAGGGGAUCAAAGACGAUCAGAUACCAU